AAUUCGCAGCCCGACUUGAGUGGAGCUCAUCCGCUGAAGGCGGAUAGCGGGAACGGAAGGCGGAAAUAGGC
rnacentral:misc_RNA from 1 species